rnacentral:rRNA from 1 species
UACGUAGGGCGCAAGCGUUAUCCGGAAUUAUUGGGCGUAAAGAGCUCGUAGGCGGUUUGUCGCGUCUGCCGUGAAAGUCCGGGGCUCAACUCCGGAUCUGCGGUGGGUACGGGCAGACUAGAGUGAUGUAGGGGAGACUGGAAUUCCUGGUGUAGCGGUGAAAUGCGCAGAUAUCGGGAGGAACACCGGUGGCGAAGGCGGCGACCUGGGACAAUACUGACACUGAGGAGCGAAAGCGUGGGGAGCGAACAGG